rnacentral:lncRNA from 1 species
GGACAGUACUCUCUGCCAUGGGAUGGAGAGAGGCUGCAGCUGAGCUCAUAGAUGGCCAGCCCUGUCAUGCACAGAUCCACCUUCACUCUAAGCUGGGCCUUUGGAAGGUGUGCACCGCUGCCAUGGCUCCAUAAAGAGUUCUGCAAGGAUGCAGCAAAAUUCAGGUGUUUUAUAAACUGCAACUCACAUUACUGAGGUUUUCAAAUAACAGACUAAACUUUCUUCUGGGUAAUUCUACAUAUUAAUCCUUCCCUGGGUUAGUUUUUUGUGUGUAUUUGUGUUGGAGACCAGAGUUAGUAUUACGGGUGGAAAAUAGAAUUUAGAAUAGAAUAGAAUUUAUCUUUAUAAUAGAUGAGAGUUUUUUAAUGGGGUGAGGAGAGAAACAGCAUUUAGCUGUUUUCUUCUUCCUUCCUUCUUUCCUUCUUUUCCUCCCUCUCUCCUUCCCUUGCUCCCUCUCUCCAUUCCUCUCACGUUCCUUCCUUUCCACUUGAAUUUUCUAAGUAAGGGCUGCAGGUGUUCAUCAAUUGAACAAUAAGUGUUCUCACUCUAAGAGCUUGUACAUAUUGGUCCAAUUUAAGGAUGCUCUAUUCUGCCUUUCAGCUUCUUUGCCCAUCUAAGAACACAACUCUAGAGAACUGGGCCAUCAGACACUUUUCUUCGGCGGGAAAAAAAUUCCCAAACCAGAAGAUCCAACUCUCCCACAUCUUAAUUGCCCUCGGAAGUGACUCUCUAGGGGAAUAACACUGGAUUAAAAGGCAGUUCAAGGGGCCGGCCCCGUGGCCGAGAGAUUAAGUUCACGCACUCCACUUCGGCAGCCCAGAGUUUCGCCGGUUUGGAUCCUGGGUGUGGACAUGGCACCGCUCAUCAAGCCAUGCUGAGGGGGCACCCCGCAUGCCACAACUAGAAGGACCCACAACUAAAAAUACACAACUAUGUACCGGGGGAUUUUGGGAGAAAAAUGAAAAAUAAAAUAAAAUAAAAUAAAGACA